rnacentral:tRNA from 1 species
CGAUCGUCUGGCUCAGGCGCGGCUGGCGGCGCCGGUGCCGCCGGCGCGGGUGUUCGCCGUGGGUGGCGCCCGGGUGUUCGACUGCCUCCCGAUCCA